rnacentral:rRNA from 1 species
GAUGAACGCUGGCGGCGUGCCUAAUACAUGCAAGUCGAGCGAACAGACGAGGAGCUUGCUCCUCUGACGUUAGCGGCGGACGGGUGAGUAACACGUGGAUAACCUACCUAUAAGACUGGGAUAACUUCGGGAAACCGGAGCUAAUACCGGAUAAUAUAUUGAACCGCAUGGUUCAAUAGUGAAAGACGGUUUUGCUGUCACUUAUAGAUGGAUCUGGGCCGCAUUAGCUAGUUGGUAAGGUAAAGGCUUACCAAGGCAACGAUGCGUAGCCGACGUGAGAGGGGGGUCGGCGACACUGGAACUGAGACACGGUCCAGACGCCUACGGGAGGCAGCAGUAGGGAAUCUUCCGCAAUGGUCGAAAGCCUGACGGAGCAACGCCGCGUGAGUGAUGAAGGUGUUCGGAGCGUAAAACUCUGUUAUUAGGGAAGAACAAAUGUGUAAGUAACUAUGCACGUCUUGACGGUACCUAAUCAGAAAGCCACGGCUAACUACGUG